rnacentral:rRNA from 1 species
UGGAAAGGAAAGUUCCUGAAUCGUGCCGGGUGCACUGCUCUGGUUAAGUCCGUGCUCUCCUCCAUGCCAAUCUUCUUGCUGACGGCUUUAAAGGCUGACAAAGGCAUCCUCAAGGCCUUUGCGAAGAUCAGUCGCGGCAUGCUCUGGGCCUGUAAGGAGGCGGUUAGUGGAGGAAAAUGCAAAGUCAACUGGCAAAAGGCCUGCCGCCCCAAGGAGCUCGGUGGUUUGGGGGGUUUUGGACCUAGAGAGGUUCUCCCGGGCCCUAAGGCUUCGCUGGUUAUGGUAUGA